ensembl:lncRNA
UAAAAAGCUUUAAAACAAAGAGGAAGUAGGAAAAGAACUACAUUUCCCAUCUGCCCUGGCUGUCACAGGCUAAUAGCACCAGCUGCUUUCCAUUGCCCUAAGGAGUGAUUCUACUGCUGCAACGAGACCAAAUACAACGAAAGAAGACGGAUCUUUUGGUAGGCUGGUUAAUGAUGACCACAAGCACCCAAAUGGCAGAAUGCAGAAGACUGAAGUGGAUGGAAGCCCACAUCUUGGUCUGUUUGCUUUAACAGACUUUAAAGAAGGUGAUGAAUUACCUACAAUUACGGAGGAGGAGACUGGCCUUGGCGUAGCAAGGUAAAACAUCUACUCUGAAAAAGAGGAAGGCUCGGGAAGGAAAUGAGGUCCAUGCAGUGGAGAGACAUAUGAAGACCUUCAUCAUGUCAUGUCGUGUCCCAGGGAAGUUGGUCUGUGAAAACUGCAUUAGAUCUGAGUCUUUAUAUCUUAAAGAUAGAGACUGGCAAAGUGUCAAAUUCUACGUCUAUAACUGCACUGUAGCUUACAAAAGAGAUAUAAACAAAGAUUAAAUAACACUUUGAUAGUAACACUUUACAUCUAUAUUACAGAUACUGUACAUCAUAACAUCUGUAGUAAUGCUUUAAUAAUAAGUUACGUUACACCUCUAGCCUUUUACUUUGUAAUGAACCGCUCAGCAUUUACUUCAUAAUAAACUAAUCAGGAACAAAUCAGGCAUUUAAAAUAUCCAUUAGAAUCUUUACCUACACCGUUAUAUUGAAUUAGAUCAAAUUGGUUUGGGCCG